AAAGUGCAAAACAGGGGGAACAUUGAACAGUACUACAUAUAGGGUUGGGAACAGGUCAGACCAGAUCUUGACAGGCCUGAUCCUGACCUACGAUUUUUUUUCAGGCCUGAGUCUGGCCUGUGGCCUAUCAAAUGUUAUUUUUUUUGGCCUGCCCUGAGUCUUUUAAAAGUCUGGUCUGGCCUUGUAGCCUGUUUAAAAGUCUGUGUUACAUUAAAGCUUCUCUAUAUAGUUUUUUUAAAUAGGCUAAACAGGCCUUAAAAAGUUCACAUUUAAAUUUUUAUNNNNNNNNNNNNNNNNNNAUAAUAUGAUUAACACAAUAAUUAAAAACUAAUAAAAUAACAAAUAUGAUUACGAAAAGUCGCAAUAAUUAAAAGCUAAUAAUAUUUAUAUAAAUAAUAUUUUUUUAUAAGAUAUAAAUAAUAAUAUUAUAUAAAUAAUAAUUAUUAUAAACAGGCAAGUCUAUCAAGUUUCGUAGGCUUUUUUAGAAGCCUAAACCUGACCUAUUUAUGUAAAAUACCGUUUUCAAAACCUAAGCAUGUCAUUUUAAAUAAUCAGGUCAGACCUAUUCCCAACCCUAACUACAUAAUUCACAUUUGAAAUUUGGAACCACUUUUGACUGAUUAAUAUGGCCGCAGAAGCAAAUAAGAUCCGCAGGUACUCUCUUUCUUCUUCUUCUUCUUUCUCUGAUUCCAUCUCCGUUAUCUCAUUCUGCAAACUUUUCAGUCGAAUUUCAGAGAUUCACAACUUCAUCAAAAACGACGAAGAAGAAUCAAACCCUUCAGAUUCCGCCGAUUUACUCCACGACUGUGCUCUUCAUGUUCAAGUUGCGUNN
rnacentral:lncRNA from 1 species